UAUUGUCUUCAUUUUACAAAG
ensembl:piRNA 21ur-13465 ncRNA